CGCACGGGUGAGUAAUACAUCGGAACGUGUCUUCUAGUGGGGGAUAACUGCCCGAAAGGGCAGCUAAUACCGCAUGAGACCUGAGGGUGAAAGCGGGGGAUCGCAAGACCUCGCGCUGGAAGAGCGGCCGAUGUCCGAUUAGCUAGUUGGUGAGGUAAAGGCUCACCUAGUCUUCGAUGGAUAGGGGUUCUGAGAGGAAGGUCCCCCACAUUGGAACUGAGACACGGUCCAA
rnacentral:rRNA from 1 species